GAGAGAGAGAGAGAGAGAGAGAGAGAGAGAGAGCCUCAUUAUUUAUAUACACAUUGUAGAAGAACGGAAGAAAAAGAAGAAGAAAAGGAGAAGCGUAGAACUCAACCACAUUCUAUCUUGAAGACUAAUGGGUGAACGUCCGAGGCCUUAUAUCGACUUAACCCACUGUGGCCAGGCACCGGAUCAAAGAUAGAGGCGUCAACCUGAACUUAUGUUUUUGUCAAGCCAGCCAUUGUGCCUCAUAACGUGGUUCCGAACUUGCAUGAGUCAAGGCUUUUUGGAUGAUUCAAAUUCACCCUUUUGUCUUUGCUCAAUGUAAAGAAUGUUUAAGACUUUUGUGUAUACAGUUUUUGAUGAUGGGAUUAUGUCUCUAACUUGCAUAUUGUCUUGCAUAUAUAUUUUUGGUAUAAGUGGUUAUGAAUAUGGCUAUGUACGUGAAAGUUUAUUUCCAUUCAGGUCCUCAU